AUGAACGCUGGCGGCGUGCCUAAUCCAUGCCAGUCGAGCGAACGGACGAGAAGCUUGCUUCUCUGAUGUUAGCGGCGGACGGGUGAGUAACACGUGGAUAACCUACCUAUAAGACUGGGAUAACUUCGGGAAACCGGAGCUAAUACCGGAUGAUAUUUUGAACCGCAUGGUUCAAAAGUGAAAGACGGUCUUGCUGUCACUUAUAGAUGGAUCCGCGCUGCAUUAGCUAGUUGGUAAGGUAACGGCUUACCAAGGCAACGAUGCAUAGCCGACCUGAGAGGGUGAUCGGCCACACUGGAACUGAGACACGGUCCAGACUCCUACGGGAGGCAGCAGUAGGGAAUCUUCCGCAAUGGGCGAAAGCCUGACGGAGCAACGCCGCGUGAGUGAUGAAGGUCUUCGGAUCGUAAAACUCUGUUAUUAGGGAAGAACAUAUGUGUAAGUAACUGUGCACAUCUUGACGGUACCUAAUCAGAAAGCCACGGCUAACUACGU
rnacentral:rRNA from 1 species